CUUUUGUUAAUAGAUCCAGAAACGAUAUUAAGAAGUCUUUUGAAGCUGGGUGUGUGGGGCACACCUGUAAUCACAGCACUUGGGAGGCUGAUGCAGGAGGAUUGCUGUGAGUUUGAGGCCAGUCUGAACUACAGAGCAAGACCUUGUCUCAAAAAAAAAAGCCCCCCAAAAUAGUCUUUUGAACUGAGCUCGGUAUAUGACUAUAAUCCCAUCACUGACAGAGGCUGAGGCAGGAGGAUCACAAGUUCCAGCCCGGCAGUAAUGACUUAGACCUGUCUCCAAAAAAGUUUAAAAAGAGCUGGGGAUGUAGCUCAGUGUGAGGGCCCCAGAUGGAUUCAACCUCUGGUACCACAAAUGAAUUAAUAAUGAAAAUUAAGUUUUCUGACUAAAUUUCUCCUGACUGUAAUCCACUUAUGUAUAUAGUAGGGCUUUAGCAAAAUCCUUGCUUGAACGAAAAUGUAGCAUAAAGAAUUUGAGUACUUCCUUUUCCCUGACUUGCUUAAUCUGAGGUCUGUGACUGGUGGGUGUAAGUAGUGGAGAUGUCAACCACUUCUUCAUCCUGUAGUCUCAUAGAUGUCAACGAGAUAGUAAUUUCCUGAAAUAUGAGGUGAUAGAUAUUAAAUGAGCACUUAUUUUACAAAGUAGCUCGAGUUGUAUUUGACCAUUCUUUGGCCCUGAGUUUUACAAACUAAGGAGCAAAAUUGAGAAAAUGUAUAUACAGACACCUGAGAAACAUUGAUUGUUUUCCAUUCUUCCUUUCUUUCACUGGUUUACUAAUGAGGUUUUUUAACAUAUUGUAACAUUUCAUUUUAUUUUCCAUGCAGGAAACCUAUGAGAAUAUCCCAGGCCAGUCAAAGAUCACAUUCCUCUUACAAGCCAUAAGGAAUGACCACCACUGCUGAUGAGGCUAGACAAAUGGCUGCUGUUCUGCUAAGACACCUUUUGUCCUCUGCAUUUGAUGACGUUUACCCAGCUCUUCCAUCGGAUGUUCAGACUGCCAUCAAGAGUGAGCUACUAAUGAUUAUUCAGAUGGAAACACAAUCUAGCAUGAGGAAAAAAAUUUGUGAUAUUGCUGCAGAACUGGCCAGGAAUCUAAUAGGUAUGUAUGCAGGUAGAUUUUAUUAUGUUUUGAGGGGAGGGAGGAAAAGGGCCUUUCUUUUUUUUUUCUUUUUUUUUUAAUGGAAUCAUUUAGAGGAAGAUUUGUGGGUACCUCAGUACUAUUCAUUCUGUUCAAAAUGAAUGACAUGGAUUCUGCAUUUAAAGCCAGAAAUUACAGAUGUUUAUGAAAUUUAGUCACAGUAUUUACCUGUUGGUAUUCAAGACUUCCAUAUGGAAAAGUAAUUUUUUAGUUCACUUGAGAGAUGUUACAUUCCUCUUUAAUCUGUACAGUUUUAGAAGUACAGGCUACCAAACAAUAUAACUUACUUUGUAGAUUAAACUUGUCACUUGAAAUAGAAAUCAGUGGGCUCCAGGUGCUUUUGCUAUUAUAUAUGCACAUUGAUAAAUUGUAUGCAUAUGCUAUUACACUACUAUACUUUAUAGAUUAUAAAAUGCUUUGAAAUAUUUUUAAAGAAUGAGAAAAUGAAAACAUUUUCUGAAAUGCAUUUUUCCAACAGUAAAAGUUUUGGUUAACCAAAAAUAUUAAUAAUGUAAUUGCAGCUGAAUAUGAUUUUUGUUUGGUUUUUUUUGUUUUGUGCAUACUAAGCACACACUUCACCACAGCUGCACACACACACACCCCCGCCCCUACCUUUUUUUUUUAACAUGGAUUCAUCGGUGCCACUACGCAUUGUUCAUGUAGAUCGUAUUUUUAAUAGUUGAAAGGGUAUUUCAUAAAGAUAGGGACUAAAUGGGAGAACAUUGUUGAUUGUACUUAGCACAUCAUGACACUUUUAAUCUCAACCAAUAACGCCAAAGUUCUUGUUGCAUUCAGCUAGCAGACUGUCAUCAUUUUUU
rnacentral:lncRNA from 1 species